GAUUUGAUUUGUAGUAUAUUUUAGUUCGUGUGUAGGGGAAGGAUUAAAACAAAAGAAAACACGUGAAAUCAUAAGGGUUAUAAUUUAAGUAUGCAUAAAAUGGAGUAAAAAAAGUGUAUUUGAAUGUUCAGAAGAGAUUUAUUUUUUUUUUUUAUUUUUUAGGAUGUGCACAAAAAAGAAGCAAGGAGGAUUUAAAGAAAUAAUAUAAUCUACUGUAGGUGUAUGAUAGGAAGCCGAAGAUGUUUUAGAAGCUUGAAGAAAGACUUAGAUGGGUUUCAAAUCAAUGAGUUUUAGAACACAUGAGAGAGGCGAAAAGCAUAUAAAGUUUGCGAUAAUUUAUAGUUUGAUUAAUUUAAAGUCUUUUUUUUAAACAUACCAGAAGCAAAGAAGAUUUAAUACUCGAAACGAUUUUAAUAGAAAUGCAUAUACAAGGUUUCAGUAACGUAAUAAUAUAGAAAAUUAUUUUAAAUUGACAAGAAUCAUAAAUUAACCAGACGCAAAAGAUUUUAAUAUUCUGAGCAGCGCGAGGGCGGCAUUCAGGAGGAUCAGGAACCGCUCAAGGGGAAUCUAAGACCGCGCUGGACGUAAAGAAAGGAAUUUAAGGCGUCGUAAGAACACGCGAGAUAGUCCUGAAUAAUUCUAAGUGAAUCUAAGAGCCUCGUAAAGGACCGGAGGAGGGUUUGAUCAAGUUUAAGAGGAUCCGAGACACUUUAGGAGCGUGCAAGAAAGGUUAUCGUCUCUCCUUUUAUUUUCUCCGAGUUUAUUGUCUCGUUUAUACUUGCCAUUCACGCGGAAACGAGUUCAGACGAGUUUCAAAUUAGGAAAGAGGGAUGAUAAAGUCCUUAAUGGUGAGCUGUUAAGAAGAAAGGGAGGAUGAAAAAAUAGAAGACAAAAUACAUGUUUAGUUUUUCUUCAGUUUUCUUCAGUUCGAGCGAGUUUUAAAUUAGAAAAGAGGGAUAAGAAAGUCCUCUAAUGGUGAUCUGUUAAGAAGGAAGGGAGGAUGAAAAAGUAGAAGACAAAAUACAUGGUUAGUUUUUCUUCAUUUUUCUUCAGUUUUCUUCAGUUCGAGCGAGUUUUAAAUUAGGAAAGAGGGAUAAGAAAGUCCUCUAAUGGUGAUCUGUUAAGAAGGAAGGGAGGAUGAAAAAGUAGAAGACAAAAUACAUGGUUAGUUUUUCUUCAUUUUUCUUCAGUUUUCUUCAGUUCGAGCGAGUUUUAAAUUAGGAAAGAGGGAUAAGAAAGUCCUCUAAUGGUGAUCUGUUAAGAAGGAAGGGAGGAUGAAAAAGUAGAAGACAAAAUACAUGGUUAGUUUUUCUUCAUUUUUCUUCAGUUUUCUUCAGUUCGAGCGAGUUUUAAAUUAGGAAAGAGGGAUAAGAAAGUCCUCUAAUGGUGAGCUGUUAAGAGGGAAGGGAGGAUGAAAAAGUAGAAGGCAAAAUACAUGGUUAGUUUUUCUUCAGUUUUCUUCAGCAGUUCAGGCGAGUUUUAAGUUAGGAAAGAUGGACAGUAAAGCCUCUAAUGGUGAUCUGUUAAGGAAGGGAAGAGGAGGAAAAGGGGGUAAAGAAGGAAGGGAGAGAAAGAAUGAAGCUACAAAAAUUGGAAACGGGGAAAGAAGGAAAAAGAGAGAAAGAAAGAAAGAAUGGAAGAAAGGAGAGAAUGGAGGGAGAAGGAAAGAAGGAAGGAAGAGAAAGAACAAAGCAAGGAAAGUGGGAAUUGGGGAAGGAUGGAAGAAGAAAGAAAGAAAAAGAAACUAAGAAAGAAAGAGAGGAAGAAAGGAAAGAAGGAAGGGAAGAGGAAAAACAGGAAGGAAAGAAAGAGGAAAGAGAAAGAAUGAAGAAAGGAAAAUGGGAAAUGGAGAAGAAAGGAAGAAGAAAGAAAGAAAGAAAGGAAGAAGGAAAGAAGGGAAGGAGGAGGAAAAGAAGGAGGGAAGAAAAGAAUGAAGCCAGGAAAAUGGGAAAUGAGGGAGGAAGGAAGAAAGAAAGAAAGAAAGAAAGAAAGAAAGAAAGAAAGGAAAGAAGGGAGGGAAGAGGAAAAAAAGAGGGUAGGAGAAAUAGAUAAAGGGAAGAGGAAAAAACGGAAGGAAAGAAGGAAGAACGAGAAAGAACGAAGCAAGGAAAGUGAGAAAUGAGGAAGGAAGAUUUUUUUUUCAUAUUUCCUUCUUUUUUAUUUUUCCUUAUUCCUUUCUCUUGUUGUUCUUCUUUUUCUUUUUCUUCUUUUCUUCUUUUAUUUGUUUUCAUCUUUGCCUCCUCCUCCUCCUCCUCUUACUCCUCCUGCUCCUCCUCCUCUUCUUCUUCUUGUGAUGGUUAAGGAAUUUCAAUGAGACACAGCAAAUGGUCCACACACACACACACACACACACACACACACACACACACACACACACACACACACACACACACACACACACACACACACACACACGUUUAUCAGUUUAUUUAACCUCCUACUUAAUUUAUCUUUAUUUUAUUUUUUUUAUUUUUUUCCUCUUAAUUUGUUCUUCGUUGACCUUUUUUUUUCUUACUGGUUAUAUUUUUUUUUCUCUUCUUUCUUCUUUUUCUUCUUCUUUCGUUGUUCUUGUUUUCUUUUUUCCUUAAUCUAGUUAUUUUUUGUUGUUCUUUUCUUUUUUUCUUUUUGUUUUUCGAUCUUCUUUCUUUCUUUCUUUCUCUCCCGUUCAUCUUCUUGCUCUCGUUCUUCUUGCUAUCAUUAUAUUGUCACUACUACUACUACUACUACUACUACUACUACUACUACUACUACUACUACUACUACUACCACCACCACCACCACCACCUGCCUCGUUAUCACCACCCAUUCAUUACUACGAUUGUCACCACACCCAAACUAUCACCACCACCGCGCACCCAAACACAAUAACACAUAAUGCAUUAGCUCUGAUGGAGGUGGUGA